rnacentral:rRNA from 1 species
UGGGGAAUAUUGCACAAUGGGCGCAAGCCUGAUGCAGCCAUGCCGCGUGUAUGAAGAAGGCCUUCGGGUUGUAAAGUACUUUCAGCGAGGAGGAAGGCGUUGUGGUUAAUAACCGCAACGAUUGACGUUACUCGCAGAAGAAGCACCGGCUAACUCCGUGCCAGCAGCCGCGGUAAUACGGAGGGUGCAAGCGUUAAUCGGAAUUACUGGGCGUAAAGCGCACGCAGGCGGUCUGUCAAGUCGGAUGUGAAAUCCCCGGGCACAACCUGGGAACUGCAUCCGAAACUGGCAGGCUAGAGUCUUGUAGAGGGGGGUAGAAUUCCAGGUGUAGCGGUGAAAUGCGUAGAGAUCUGGAGGAAUACCGGUGGCGAAGGCGGCCCCCUGGACAAAGACUGACGCUCAGGUGCGAAAGCGUGGGGAGCAAACA